GGUCAGUAGGUAUAGGACUGGAAGGUUCUGGUCAGUAGGUAUAGGACUGGAAGGUUCUGGUCAGUAGGGAUAGGACUGGAAGGUUCUGGUCAGUAGGGAUAGGACUGGAAGGUUCUGGUCAGUAGGUAUAGGACUGGAAGGUUCUGGUCAGUAGGGAUAGGACUGGAAGGUUCUGGUCAGUAGGGAUAGGACUGGAAGGUUCUGGUCAGUAGGUAUAGGACUGGAAGGUUCUGGUCAGUAGGGAUAGGACUGGAAGGUUCUGGUCAGUAGGGAUAGGACUGGAAGGUUCUGGUCAGUAGGGAUAGGACUGGAAGGUUCUGGUCAGUAGGUAUAGGACUGGAAGGUUCUGGUCAGUAGGGAUAGGACUGGAAGGUUCUGGUCAGUAGGGAUAGGACUGGAAGGUUCUGGUCAGUAGGGAUAGGACUGGAAGGUUCUGGACAUAUGGAGAAUCUUCAUUACCAUCCAAGUCAAUAAUGUAUUAUUAGCUACGUAAUUCAGAAUCUCUCGUGACAGUUUUCUCAUUAAAUCCAGGAACUGAUUUGGUUCUGGGUGCCACGAUGACAUCAUUCAUCCAGUUGAUUAAUCCACACCUCCAUGCAAUGUGGUAUCCCUUAUUAUGUCUCCAUUUAGUUUGAAGGAUUUUGAAGACUGUAGAUAAAAGACCAUUGAAGGUGUCAUCUUGGAUUUCAUGUAUGGAAAACAUGCUAGAAUACAAUCAACACUAAAUGCAUUCAAGUUAUUGCUGCC
rnacentral:lncRNA from 1 species